rnacentral:rRNA from 1 species
CAAAGAAUUUCGGUAUGCGAUGGCGAUGCGUCCCAUUAGCUAGUUGGCGGGGUAACGGCCCACCAAGGCUCCGAUGGGUAGGGGUUCUGAGAGGAAGGUCCCCCACACUGGAACUGAGACACGGUCCGGACUCCUACGGGAGGCAGCAGUGAGGAAUAUUGGUCAAUGGACGCAAGUCUGAACCAGCCAAGUAGCGUGCAGGAUGACGGCCCUCCGGGUUGUAAACUGCUUUUAGUUGGGAAUAAAAGGGGGCUCGUGAGCCCCGUAUUGUAUGUACCAUCAGAAAAAGGACCGGCUAAUUCCGUGCCAGCAGCCGCGGUAAUACGGAAGGUCCGGGCGUUAUCCGGAUUUAUUGGGUUUAAAGGGAGCGUAGGCCGGCUUUUAAGUCAGCUGUGAAAGUCCGCGGCUCAACCGUGGAAUUGCAGUUGAAACUGGAGGCCUUGAGUGCACACAGGGAUGCCGGAAUUCACGGUGUAGCGGUGAAAUGCUUAGAUAUCAUGAAGAACUCCGAUCGCGAAGGCAAGUGUCCGGGGUGCAACUGACGCUGAGGCUCGAAAGUGCGGGUAUCAAACAGGAUUAGAUACCCUGGUAGUCCGCACCGUAAACGAUGAAUACUCGUGUCCCGCGAUAUAUUGUGG